rnacentral:rRNA from 1 species
CCUACGGGAGGCUGCAGUGGGGAAUAUUGGACAAUGGGGGCAACCCUGAUCCAGCCAUGCCGCGUGUGUGAAGAAGGCCCUCGGGUUGUAAAGCACUUUCAGUGAGGAAGAACGCCUGGUGGUUAAUACCCAUCAGGAAAGACAUCACUCACAGAAGAAGCACCGGCUAACUCCGUGCCAGCAGCCGCGGUAAUACGGAGGGUGUGAGCGUUAAUCGGAAUUACUGGGCGUAAAGCGCGCGUAGGUGGCUUGAUAAGCCGGUUGUGAAAGCCCCGGGCUCAACCUGGGAACGGCAUCCGGAACUGUCAAGCUAGAGUGCAGGAGAGGAAGGUAGAAUUCCCGGUGUAGCGGUGAAAUGCGUAGAGAUCGGGAGGAAUACCAGUGGCGAAGGCGGCCUUCCGGACUGACACUGACACUGAGGUGCGAAAGCGUGGGUAGCAAACAGGAUUAGAUACCCUAGUAGUC